AAACUAACAAGGAUUCCCCUAGUAACGGCGAGUGAACCGGGAAAAGCUCAAAUUUGAAAUCUGGCGUCCUCAGGGCGUCCGAGUUGUAAUCUAUAGAGGCGUUUUCCGUGCCGGACCGUGUCCAAGUCCCUUGGAACAGGGUAUCAAAGAGGGUGACAAUCCCGUACUUGACACGACUACCGGUGCUCUGUGAUACGUCUUCUACGAGUCGAGUUGUUUGGGAAUGCAGCUCAAAAUGGGUGGUGAGUUCCAUCUAAAGCUAAAUAUUGGCGAGAGACCGAUAGCGAACAAGUACCGUGAGGGAAAGAUGAAAAGCACUUUGGAAAGAGAGUUAAACAGUACGUGAAAUUGUUGAAAGGGAAACGAUUGAAGUCAGUCGUGACCGAGAGGCUCAGCCGGCUCUGCCGGUGUAUUCCCCUCGGUCGGGUCAACAUCAGUUUUGUCCGGUGGAUAAGGGCGGUAGGAAGGUGGCACCCACGGGUGUGUUAUAGCCUGCCGUCACAUACACUGGGUGAGACUGAGGAAUGCAGCUCGCCUUUAUGGCCGGGG
rnacentral:rRNA from 2 species